ACAUACCUUGGUGCAUAAGCUAUUGUGGGGUAGAGGUAGAAAGGGAGUUAGCUUUGUCACCACAUCCAGGCCAGGUCCCUUAGAAAUUUCUGACAUUUUCUUCAGUGACCACCCAUCUUUUUUAUAUGGAUCCUCCAUUCUUUCCACAAAAAAAAGAGCCUGCACGCUUGUCCUUUCUACAAGAGCUUCAGAAGGGGCCUCCAUAUAUAUAGGCCAUUUCUUCUUACUUCUCUUCUAAUAAAACCUCUCCAGCCUUCCAUCCCUUCCUUCAGAUUCUUCAGAAGAUUUAGAAAUAAUGGUGUCCAAACGGUUUCCCAUCCAGUUGUGCCCUUUUUUAUGUUGAGUUAUGCCAGAAAAAGGGUAAGUUUGUCUGAAAAUUUUAUGGGGAGUCAAAAGAGAUUAGAAAGAUCUCUUUUAGAAGACCUUGUGUUAUGGCCUCAGCAAGAUCUCUGAUGUUGGUGCCUCUCCCUAAUAUGUGAAGAUAUAUCAAAGGGUCUCCCCCAUUAUUUCCCUAUCCUUUAUCCCCAAACCCUAAGGUUUGUAAGACCUGUAUCCCUGUGCUAUAGAUUCUCUGACAGAUGCUGGGAUUUGUUCUCCCUCUAUUUCUCCUGUGGAGAGUAACCUAGAACUGAAGCACAGAACCUUAGUACUUGAAAUGACCCUAUAGGUAAGGAGCAUCCCUGGGUGUUCUUUGAUGUCUUAAAGAACUUAAGCUAUCUUCUAAAACCCUGCCACAGGUUAGUGUUCAUUAUGAAUCUAUUUUGGCCUUUCUAUACUAUCAGCUUCUCCUACAUCUCCCCUUUCUCUGGCCUGAGCCCACAAGAAGGUAUUCAACUAAUACAGAAAAAAUUAUAUGAAAUUCUAUUUGCAUAUGUCAAAAAUAGUCAAGUAUCAGCAAUUUCAUAUGGUUCAAACUGGACACCCUGAGCAGGUUACCAGUGGUGUGAAGGUUGUUUAUAUUCCUGGGGCUGAAAGUCAAGGGAACUCACUGGCCUCCUGGAGUCUUAGCCCCAAAGUUUGUAGGGUCAUUCAUCAUGCCCUCUCCUUAAUUAGCCAUGUUUUUUUCCCUCUACUUCCAGUUCCUCCCUAUUCUUUCUUCAGCUAUGUCAUCACCAUUACUGAAAAUCCCCACUGUUUGCCCAGACCCUCAGCACUAUCACAGAUCCAUUGGAUGAAAUGAAUUAUAAUGAAGUGUUCUCCUUCUUAAAAUCACUUUUCCUUACCUGGGAAUGUGUCUUCUGACUAGUAGAAAUAGAAAGAGGAAGUUUGUCUGAAUUUUUCACAGGAAGCAAAUGGGAUCUAAUGUAUUAUCAGAAUAAAAGAAUGUUGGAGCUUGAGCCCCUUCAUACUUCCAGAAUACUCGCAAUGAUCAGGUCCCAGAACACUGGGUUUCUUCAUUUGGGCCACAGAUAUUCUUAAGCAACUGUUAUGUACUGGGUUCUGUUCUAGGAUCAGAGAAUUCUAUUUGGAUAAGAAAGAAAGGCCCUACUGUCAUGGAACUUACCUAAUGACAAUAAUAGGAUAAAUAUUUAACAAAAAAGAAAAAAAUUCCAGAGAGAGCUAGAAAUGCUCUUUAAAAAAUAUAUCAGGACUGUGAAAUGGAGAGAACUGGUUUCACUGACUUCAGCACAGUGGGUAGGUAGUUCUCCCUGAAAAGUGACACUAGUUGACACAUGAGUGAUGAGAACAAGCCAGUCAUAUGAAGGAUCUAAGGGACAAGUGUUCCAGGGAGAGGGAACAGGGGAAAGGUCAAUGUGUGGGAAGAUGUUUGCUGAGUUUAGAAGACAGAAAGAAGGCAAGAGUGGCUGAAGCAUAGCAAGCAAGUUGGAGAGUGACAUAAGAUAAGGUUGGAGAGGACGAAAGGAGCCAAAUCAUCUUAGAUCCUGAUGGCAAUGGAAAGUAGAGGAGGUCACAUAGGGACAGAAGAGGGCAAGAACCAAUGAGUUAGCCAAGGUGACUGAGAAAGGUACCCAACACAUGGAAGUCAAGGAAAGUAGUUUUCUUCACUGAGGAGGGAAUGGCCGGUUGUGGUAAGUACCACCAAGAGGUAGGUGAAUUGAGAACGUGACAGCAAAGUGAACUGGGUUUGGUGGACAUGAUGUUUGCAGAUUCAGUCGAAUAUCCAAAAUAGAAACUGGACUGGAGCAUUUGAAAAGAGAAUGGGAGCUAAAGAAAUGGAGGAUGGAUUAGAGAUAACUCUUGAGUAGUUGAUCUCAGGGAAAGACUGUGCUCUGGGAUCGGGAAGCAACUGGACCUAAAAUAUAAGAAUAAAAGAGCACAGGGCAGGUGUGAGGAAAGGGCACAGAACUCUUUGGCCCUCGCCAAGCAUGCCAGUCUCCCAGAAUCUCCACCUGUUCACUAACCCAAAAGCUCCCUGAACCAUCACUUUUGGACUUUUAUGGAGGCCUCAUCACAUAAGCAUCAUUGAUUAAAUCCUUGACCAUGAUGACCGAACUCCAGCUUCAGCGUUUCCGCCCUCCCUGGAGGUCAGGGGGAUGGGACUAAAAGUUUCAACCCACUUGGUUGAUUCUCCUGACAACAAGCCCCAAUCCCAAAGGGGUAUCCAAAAGUCACCUCAUCAACAUAACAAAAGACACCUUUAUUGCUCUUAUCACUUAGGACAUUUCUAGAGUCUCAGGAGUUCUGUGCCAGAAACUCAGACUAAGACCAAGUAUAUAUUUCUUAUUAUAAAUCAUAAUAUAACAGCAACUGAUUGCCAAGACAAAGAAACUAGUAAACUUUGGUCCUGAACAAAUUUAUUUUGCUGGAAAAACAGCUCUCCAUUAGAACUAGAUUUUUUGAAAAUGUAAGUUUCAUGUAGGACCAAGAUUUUAAAGAGGUAUGAUACUGGAACUUUUUUCCAUGUAAUUUUCAGCUUCUUCAUGAUUAACAGUGACUUUUUCACCAGUUUUUUCCAGAUGGUUUUCACUAGUGGUUGUCAUGCAGAGAUAGCUCACCACCCCUCCUCCCUGUUUCUUCACCCCAUGAUUAUUUGACAAUAUCUGGAGCCAAUUAUGGUUCUCACACUAGGGGUUUCCUCUGACAAUGAGUGGGUAGAGGCCAGGGAGGCUGGUAAACAGCCUACUAUGUCCAGAACAGGCCUCCCCAAUCCACAACUACAAAAAUGAUGUGGCCCAAAAUGUCUAUAUAGUGCUGAGGCUGAAAACUGCUUUAUACUGUACUACUUCUAACAUUUCUACACUCACACUUUAUAUACACACUCAUCCUCCAAUUUAGUAUUCCAUGGUUAAUUUUAGUUUGUUUCAUUACUAGACAGUUGCACAAAUUCACCGCCUUUUGUGUUGAAUCCAUUCAUUCAAAGCAAGUGCAACUCUUCAUUUUUAUUUUUUGCUUUAAGCCAAGUUUUUCAAUAUUUCACAAGCUUUUGCUCAUUACAUCUUUAUCGACUUUCAACAACUUGCGUUUUUAAGUUUUAAAUAGUGGUGACUGACACAAAUAUUUUCCAGUACAAUGCCUCAUAUUUCUGCAGUAAUUCUGUUUUCUAGACCAUUGAUGAUAUCAGGAGCUUCCGUUUAUCCAUAUUACUUUUUUUUAAUGUUUAUUUUAUUUUUGAGAGAGAGAGAGCACAAGCAGGGGAGACAGAGACAGAACCUGAAACAGGCUCCCGGCUCUGAGCUGUAAGCACAGAGCCCAAUGUGGGGCUCAAACCUACAAACAGUAAGAUCAUGACCUGAGCUGAAGUCAGGCACAACCGACUGAGCCACCCAGACCUCCCUAUCCCUCACUUUUAACCACAGGGUUAUUCUUUAACUCUUUUGGCAUUGUCAAAUGACAAAACUAAAUCAAUUUAGUAAACUAUGUGAUAUCCUUUAUUCAAGGCAAAAUAAUCCAUGGAUGGGGGAGUAAAGUGACUCACAAACUGUGGAGCACUUUCCCCAAGGGAUUUGAACAUUUAUAGAGCAUUAGAAGAGGGAACAUGGAGACAGUGCAUGAUUGGCUAGAAGGUUAGGGAUUUCCUUGUAAGGUGAGCAGGUGUGACUUUCCAAAGUCAGGUAAGCUAGCUAAACCUGAGUUGGAGAAUUGUGAUUGGUAUCUGUUAAGGUUGCUUGACAGGUGUUUCCUGUAAGUGCAGGAUGACUUAAGUUUAGAUUUGGGAUGUGAGUGAGAUGCUGGGGUGGCCUCCAUUUUAUGGGUCCUGAUAAAGAAAUUAACUUUAUUUUCACAGUUAAAUGACAUACAGACAAAAACACCAAAUCUAUAUACAUUUAUAUCAUAUAUAUCUAUGCUUACACAUAUUAAAGCUACAGAAUCACAAGUAAAAGCUCUGAGACACAUUUGACUCCUUAAUUCAUCAGAUCAUAUUUGCCGUAUGAAUUUUGGCACCAAAAAAAAAAAAAAACACUUGAUUUUCUGAGGUUCCUGGA